rnacentral:rRNA from 1 species
AACGAACGCUGGCGGCAGGCUUAACACAUGCAAGUCGAACGCAUGCCUUCGGGCAUGAGUGGCAGACGGGUGAGUAACGCGUGGGAACCUACCCCUUGGUACGGGAUAGCUCCGGGAAACUGGAGAUAAUACCGUAUGUGUCCUGAGGGACAAAGAUUCAUCGCCAAGGGAUGGGCCCGCGUCGGAUUAGCAAGUUGGUGGGGUAACGGCCUACCAAGGCGACGAUCCGUAGCUGGUCUAAGAGGAUGAUCAGCCACAUUGGGACUGAGACACGGCCCAAACUCCUACGGGAGGCAGCAGUGGGGAAUAUUGGACAAUGGGCGCAAGCCUGAUCCAGCCAUGCCGCGUGAGUGAUGAAGGCCCUAGGGUUGUAAAGCUCUUUCACCGGUGACGAUAAUGACGGUAACCGGAGAAGAAGCCCCGGCUAACUUCGUG